GCAGACAAGUUAUUUGCUUCUUUAUUUGCAUGAAAGUAACAGAAUAUUUCCUAUUAGUGCAUGAAAAGGUUCACUUAACGGUGAAUAAUGAGCGACUUUUCAUUUCUUCUCAAGCAUCGUGGAAUUCACAUCUCCUGCAAUAAUAGACAACUAUGUAUAGUAAGACUUGGUUACCUUGUGUGAGAGCGAGGGAUAAAUGGAAGCUUUCCAUGUGUUACAUUCGGUGUUCUUUACGCCUUACUCAUCUCGACGUAUAUUAUCUCUGACAAAAACCUCUCUGCUUGGACUUCCAAGAAGGGCACAAUGACUUCUUGUAGAGAACAUGGUCAACUUGUCAGGAACAGCCUCAAGAACGUGGUGAUCUGAAGGUCAUCUUGACCAAGAACAGUGAUGCCUAACACCUCCAGCACUCCAGCUGUGGUAAAACUACGACUCCCAAGAUGCACGCUUGCUUGGCUGUUCUCAGAACUCCAUAGAAAUGAGUAGAGCAUGCUGGGAGUCGUAGUUUCACCACAGCUGGCCAUCACUGACCUAGAAGAAUCCUACUUGGAAGAGACAGCCCAACCGAAGGCCAGACACCAUUAGAUCAUCUCAAGGUCUUUACUUCUCUAUUGAAUGACCUUCAACCAAGAUUUUACCCUACAGCCUGACCUAAGUCAAGGGAAGGAUAUUCACUAGAAAACUUGUCAGGCUAACCUAAGAUACAUAUGAACUUGGCCUAGACCUACACGUAAUAUACAGAUACCAGGUACAAUUUCCCCACAGAUGUAGCAAAUGUUAACCUGACACUUAACACGUCAAGGUCUCCUGCCCGUUUUGCGUCUGCAUUUUUCCCCCGGACCUAUUGACUUCAAUGGGGUCUGAGGUCUGCUCUGCAUUGUGGACUUAUUCUAUUUAUUAUGUAUUUGUGGAACGGACAUACGGAUGCUGAAAGCAUACAGAUGAUCCAUGUGCUUUCCGCAUCCGGAUGUCCAUUCUGCCAAAAGAUAUAAGAACUCCUAUACAUGGCCACAAAAUGAGGACCACAGGACCACUGAAGUCAAUAGGACCGCAAAAAAUGUGGAUGCAACACGGAUAAUGUCCGUAUUUUGCUCGCAGACCGAAAAAUACAUACGGUUGUGUGAGGCCUAAAGGCUAAUUUGUCCCCAGGAAAUUCACUGAUAAACCAGGCACAAUGCCUUGUAGGACUAGCUCAGCGGAACGUAAUGAUACCUCUCACUCCGCGAUCCGUUGCUUCGUUCUGAUGAAAAACUACAUUUAAUCCAUAUGCAAAUGAUCAGUUAAGUGCACCGAGGGCGGGCCCCAAGCCACUCUGUGCACCCUUGCUCUUCCUGCUUUCUCUGCCGGCCCCUCCCUCUACUUGAUUGACAGGGCCGAGUUCCUACACAGUCAUCUCACCUGACCAGUACUGGCUCUCUAACUGGUACAUGAGCAGUACAACUCAAAAGGCAUUCCGUUAUAGAAUUGCGUUAUGGUCCGUCGUAGCGGAAUCCAUAACGCAAUUCACCUUUUACCAACAAAUGAAGUGUGAACGAAUUUCAUAAGUGGAAAUUCGCUCAUCUCUAGUGGACACCAUAGGAUAAGUGUCCAGAGGAGGUACUGCACCCUGCAAAACCAACCUGAAAUACGGGUUUUAUUCUGGUAACUCAGGGUCCAUUAGAACCCCCCUCCCCCCCCCCUUUCCAAAAAAAAAUAAUGUCUUACCUCUCUGAGCUGCAAUACCACACACAGGUAUGGCGCUUUUUUAGGAAGACGCCAACCAUGUUUUUUUUAUUUUAUUUAUCCCAUACAGGUUGUACAAAA